rnacentral:rRNA from 1 species
GACGAACGCUGGCGGCGUGCUUAACACAUGCAAGUCGAACGGAAAGGCCCUGCUUUUGUGGGUUGCUCGAGUGGCGAACGGGUGUGUAACACGUGAGUAACCUGCCCUUGUCUGUCUGAUAACUUCAGGAAACUGGGGCUAAUAUCGGAUAUGAUCUCCUGCUGCGUGGUGGGGGUUGGAAAGUUUCGGCGGUUGGGGAUGGACUCGCGGCUUAUCAGCUUGUUGGUGGGGUAGUGGCUUACCAAGGGUUUGACGGGUAGCCGGCCUGGGAGGUUGACCGGGCACAUGGGGACUGAGGGACGGACCAGAAGGCUACGGGCGGCAGCAGGGGGGAAUAUGGCAGAAUGGGGGGAAGCGAGAGACAGAAACGCCGCGUGCGGGAUGACGGCCUUCGGGGUGUAAACCGCUGUCGACUGUGACGAAGAGGGAUUGACGGUAAUGGGUAAAGAAGCACCGGCUAACUACGUG